GUAAACCGUUUUGUGUUUGGAUGC
rnacentral:siRNA from 1 species